AAAAUGCGAUAAGUAAUGUGAAUUGCAGAAUUCAGUGAAUCAUCGAAUCUUUGAACGCACAUUGCGCCCGCCAGUAUUCUGGCGGGCAUGCCUGUUCGAGCGUCAUUUCAACCCUCAAGCCCCCGGGUUUGGUGUUGGGGAUCGGGCUGCGGUUCUGCCGCGUCCCGGCCCCGAAAUCUAGUGGCGGUCUCGCUGCAGCCUCCAUUGCGUAGUAGCUAACACCUCGCAACUGGAACGCGGCGCGGCCAAGCCGUUAAACCCCCCAACUUCUGAAUGUUGACCUCGGAUCAGGUAGGAAUACCCGCUGAACUUAAGC
rnacentral:misc_RNA from 1 species